rnacentral:rRNA from 1 species
AUUGAACGCUGGCGGCAGGCUUAACACAUGCAAGUCGAACGAGUGGCGGACGGGUGAGUAAUGUCUGGGAACGUGCCCGAUGGAGGGGGAUAACUACUGGAAACAGUAGCUAAUACCGCAUACCAUCGGAUGUGCCCAGAUGGGAUUAGCUAGUAGGUGGGGUAAAGGCUAACCUAGGCAACGAUCCCUAGCUGGUCUGAGAGGAUGACCAGCCACACGGGAACUGAGACACGGUCCAGACUCCUACGGGAGGCAGCAGUGGGGAAUAUUGCACAAUGGGCGAAAGCCUGAUGCAGCCAUGCCGCGUGUAUGAUGAAGGCCUUCGGGUUGUAAAGUACUUUCGGCGGGGAGGCGUUAUCUGCAGAAGAAGCACCGGCUAACUACGUGCCAGCAGCCGCGGUAAUUC